UUCACAGGGAAUGCUUUAAAAAUAGAUCAAAAGAUGAUCAGAGUAAGACUUUAAAAUAAAGCAUCACUAUUGUUGUAGUUGUUACUCACUGUACCUUUGAUAUACUAUAUACUACUUAUAUACCUCUCCUCUAUUUUUUAUCUUUUAUUUUAUUUAGUUCUCUGUGCUUCUAUUUAGUGCAGUGUGAUUCACGUGUUGUUUCUCUUUCCCACUCCUCUCUGGGGGAUUUCAGAUUCCUGGUGGAUCAUCUGUGCUCUUGUUCUUGGCAGUGGACCACACCUCUGGCUCAUCUUGGUUGUGGACCUCGUCCCCACCUAUACCCCAGUCCUAUCUGGUUGAACUCUUCAAAUAUGAAUAGAAUAGACUUCAUUGCAACUGCCAGCAGCACUUAAAUUGGGGUUAGUCCAACAGCAGCACAAGACAUAUGCGGUGCGCCUGCACAAAUGGAAGUUCCAGAAAUGAGUCCAGAGUGCCAGCAUGUUCCUCCUCCCCUUUGUCUGUGCUGAUAAGAAUGUGCCUUCACUGCAGCUGCGCAAAUGUCCCCAGCUUGACUGAUGGAUCUUCGCAGGGUGGCUUCAACAGCGGGGUCUGAUUGAAUUUCCCCCCAUCAGAUUAAUCUCAAGCAGACACAUGGAGCCAUAAGCACUGAUGGAGAAAAAUACUUAUUUGCAGUUAUUUUUUAUUUAUUUAUUUUCAUAUGAAUCUUAAAAUGACCAUAUGCACCCAAAUCAUUGCAAAAAUAAUGGGUAAAAUCAAAAGAAAAUGUGUUUUUUUACUACUUUUAGGUAGUAGAGUGUUAUCAUAUUAAUGGUACUAAGUUUUGUCAAACAUACUUUUGAUUUAUAAAAUUAAAUAUGUUUUUUGGUGAAAAAAAAUAAAACAAAACUCAUAAUCAAUCACUGCCCACAGACGAAAAACCAUGCACAGCCAGGGGGGAAAAAAAAGCUCAACAUUUCCACUGCAUCAUUUUUUUCACAAUAAAAUAUUAGAAACGAAAUAAUCUAGGAUUCAAAACUAAUUAUCGGUUUAUUGUGAUCACACUGGAACAACAACAGAAAGAUAAUUGACAGCUAUGAUUAUUUUUGGUGAUAAUACUGAAUCAUUUUUGUUAAUUAUCUGUUUUACUUGUCAAAAUAUGACUCGCUUUAUUCAUGAGGCACAUUUUAAUUUGGUUUUAAAUAAAUAAAAAGAAGUGAAAAAAAUUAAAAAGUACAACAAAAGAAACACUUUUUGUUCUUAAGUUGAACAGGAAAAACUGCUUUUUUUCCCUCCUGACAUCCACUAAUGGAAUAUUGUCCUCUGUAGAGGAGAUUUCUUAAUUUGAAUAUCUAGCAACCACUGCAUUCUACUGAAUGAACUCUUUUUGGUAUCUACAUAGAUCAUUUGGGGCUUUUCUAUGAUACCAAAUGUCAAGGGUUUGUUCUCUGGGAAUUGUAGUUUUUCAGGUUUUAAAAUAAAUUUGACUGUAUUUUUUUUCUUCUGUUUUUUCUGGAGGGAAUAUAAUUUAUUAAGGUUAGGUUGUGUCAUAGAAAAAGAAGACAAUUUAUAGGAAUAAAUAAUUGAUUGAAAAAACUAGGGAUAACAUCUCAUGAGUCGUCAUGCUAAAUAAUAAAACACAAAUGUAAAAUUGACUAAACUAUAGUUUGUACUAAAAAUAAAAAAUGAAAAAA